rfam:Deinococcus sp. TR1 contig_36, whole genome shotgun sequence.
GGGGAUGACCCGGUUUCGACGGGGAUCGCUGAGCGGGACGUUGCGAGCCGAGGAUGAUCGUGGGCCUCGUUAAUCAUCGGUCAAAGCCUUUAACUGGCAACAACAACAGCACCACCUACGCCUUCGCUGCUUAAGCGAAGCAGUGACCAGGAAGCCCGGCCAUUGGCGUCCUGCGAACUUCCAAAAGAUGGCUAGCCUGAGCCGACGCUUCUGAGCGCGGGCGAAAUUUAAGAAGCUGGGGUAGAAAGCAGCGUGUCCCUGCGCGACUGAUACCUGAGAUCUAAAUCAUGGACUACGCUCGUAGAGACCAACGCAAUGGGUCUUCGGACGGCGGUUCGACUCCGCCCAUCUCCACCA